UACGUAGGGGGCGAGCGUUGUCCGGAUUUAUUGGGCGUAAAGAGCGUGUAGGCGGCCAGGUAGGUCUGCUGUGAAAACUCGAGGCUCAACCUCGAGACGUCGGCGGAAACCAUCUGGCUAGAGUCCGGAAGAGGAGAGUGGAAUUCCUGGUGUAGCGGUGAAAUGCGCAGAUAUCAGGAGGAACACCUAUGGCGAAGGCAGCUCGCUGGGACGUUACUGACGCUGAGACGCGAAAGCGUGGGGAGCGAACAGG
rnacentral:rRNA from 1 species